UAGUGGAGGAAAAGUUUAAGGUUAAUAACCUUAGGCCCUGACGUUACCUACAGAAGAAGCACCGGCUAACUCCGUGCCAGCAGCCGCGGUAAUACGGAGGGUGCAAGCGUUAAUCGGAAUUACUGGGCGUAAAGCGCGCGUAGGCGGUUAAACAAGUCAGAUGUGAAAGCCCCGGGCUCAACCUGGGAACUGCAUUUGAAACUGUUUAGCUAGAGUGUGGUAGAGGAGAGUGGAAUUUCAGGUGUAGCGGUGAAAUGCGUAGAUAUCUGAAGGAACACCAGUGGCGAAGGCGGCUCUCUGGACCAACACUGACGCUGAGGUGCGAAAGCGUGGGUAGAAAAGGGAUUAGAUACCCCAGUAGUC
rnacentral:rRNA from 1 species